CGUAAAGGUUUUCUCGGUUUAGAUGAAGAUUGGCCCUCAAAUGUAAAAACAAAGGGAAGUUUGAUUAGAAGACCUAUCCAUCGAGUAGGGAUGAAAGUUGGUUUUAGUAAUCUGAUCGUACUGAGUGGAAGGAUCAUUGUUCAA
rnacentral:rRNA from 1 species